AUGGAGGCUAGAUUGGGUGGGUAGCGGGCACCUGUACAAAUCCCUUCUUUGUAAAGAAGGUCUUUGUGAACCCUAAGAAACAAAGGGCUUCGCAAAUAUUAGGGGUUUGAGGGAUUGCCAUCAACCCGCUUUAGGUGGAAUCGAAGCCUGAGGGCGUUGCACGAAGUAAGGCGAGCCCGAUCCCAGAGCGUCGAAGCUCAGUCCUGAGGGAUUGUGUUUAUAGCGAAACAGGUCAGAUCCGGAAGGAGGCAGCCUUAAGUUAUGGGCAUGAUGCUUUCGGGAGCGCUGAGUGGAGCAAUGGUUUCGGAUCAACUCUUCUUGUUCCGUGUUGCCACCGAAGGCGUGCCUCCAU
rnacentral:SRP_RNA from 1 species